GGAUAAUGAGCUCACAGACGCACAUUCUGUGACCUGGUGGCGGAAGGGUUGGUUUGGCCUUUGGCCUCCUGGAGUCCAGUGACUUGGAGGGGUUUCAUUUUCUCACUGACAACCAGCCAGAGACACAUGGGCUUGCAUGUCAGAGCCAAACAGAGCUGCAGAGCUCUCCUCGGCCUCUCAUGAGUCUCCUGGGCCACAUUCUCUGAAAGAAGUCUCCUGCCUGAUUUGGUAGGUCCCAGUUUAGCCUCCUUGAAGUUCCUGGACAAUGCACAGGUCUUGGCAGCCUCUCGCAAGCAGCCUUUGUUCAGGGACUGUGGACUCUCCAGCCGGAAGGUUACCCCACCUGAACAUCCUCCUGGGAGGAAGCAGGGCAUGAAUCCGAAGGAAUUAGUGAAGUCCUUCCAUAGCCAUCCUUGAUGGUGGAGCGGGGGUGUGUCUCAGCAAAAAGGGCUGAAGUAUAAGGUGCUGGGACCAGUUGUCAGUAAAGGCAGUAUGAUUCAAUGAAUCAAUUAAAUCAGGAUGGAGAAGGGAAGCAAAAAGUCCAAGCCAGAUAAGUGGAACUACCCAUGAAACUGGAGGGUGUGGUGAACAAAAGCAAAAUGAUUAGUCACAAGGUCAGGAGCAAGGUGAGUCAAGGGGAGUGGUUCAGAAAGUAGACUGUGAGGAACCUUGGGAAGUGGUGAAUGGGGGUGGCUGUGUUUUAUCUCAAGCCCCACUUCUUAGUGUAAUGGGUAUGGGGCUGUCAGCUGAACAGCUCUUAUUAGGCCACAUGCAUGGAGCCCACUGGAGGCAGUUGGCUGUGCAGCAGCUGGAAGUCUCCCCUAGGACAACUUGUUCAUUUCACCCACAGCAUUGGGAAACCUGGAUGAAGAAGAAGGUGGGAGAAGACAAGGAGGCUACCAUUUUCUCUGCAGGAAAUGGUGGUUAGCUCAAAGCAGAGGAGAAUUCAGCAGUGUAGAUGAAGCUUGAGUCUUUACAAAGUACUUUCCCAUCCUUUUCUUUUGUCCUUCUCAGUGGCCCCAGGAUGAAGAAAGGUAGCUAGAUGGAGGAUGGUUCUCCUCAUUCCGCAGAUGAUGAACUUGAAACCAGUGACAGUGAGUGAGUUUCAGGUCACAUAACUAUGUAGGGCCAGGGCUUGAUUGUAAAUCUCAUUCUAGCUGUAACUCUUUCCAUUACAAUUUACUAGUAUUCAAACGAUAUGUAAAAAAUAAGCAAAUAAUGAAACACAGCAUUUUGCAAGACAUAAGGGUAAGAUUGUAACCACGUCUCUGCAAUUCUCGUGGAGACUUUGGUAUUUGCCCUUGGCCACCUCCUUUCCUACCCUUCUGGCCCUGAUUGGGCACUGGUGAAAAGGUGUCUGUGAGCAUCUACCACACUUGCCUCCCCCAUUACACAGACUGGCAUUCUCUCUAUGGCCACAGUCCUCAGGGUAAUUAAGGUUGUGGAGUAACAGGAAAUAUUUUAUUCAGUAAGAUUGUACUCAUUUGCUUAUUCAGUUGCUGAACUAUCUUCCAGGAAUACAUCAGAAGGUUUUACCAUUCUAUUUGCCUGCCUUAGUUGGGAGAUCUGAAGGAAAUGAGUUUAAUUCACCCUUCACAUUUCUAAUUAAAACUUUUUACAUUUCAAGCUUUUUGACAGGAAAAAAAAAAGAAAAAUUCUGUGGAAGGCAGCUUCGAGAAGACAUAAUCCAUGUGUGAUUGUUUGAGAGCAAGAAGGGUUAAAAAAGGCAACAACAAAAAACCUGCUCAUUUUUGCUGCUUGCUUAAGAAAAAAACAACUCAAGCCAUCUCCAAAUGUAGUUUAAUCCAUUUUCAGACUUUAUACAUUAUGCAUCAAGAUUUUGUACAAAAGGAAUUUGAGAGGAGUGUUUGCAUGAAACCACUUCAGUGGAUUAAAUUUGCAGUUCAGCACAUUAGACUCAAAAAGUAUACAAGACAUUUUGAGAGUCCCUGACUCCUUCCUUUAUAUGCAUAGUUCCUACUUCAGGUAAAUAAGUUUUUAAGAAUGAGUGGAUUCCAGCAGCUGUCUUUAAGGGAAAAAUUAAGAAAGGAUUUGGUCUACCUUCCACUUAGCUUCACAAUGAUUGCAAAUGUUUGAAGAACAGAAAGCCUAGUUGAGAAGGUGGAUCUAAGCUGUUCUAUGGACCUCGAGAUUCUUUUAGGCAAAGCUGCCCUAUCCAAGGUGGAAAAGCUAAUGUGAAAAGACAUUCUCAAUAGAAGGAGUUCACACAGCGAUGUCAUAACUGCAAACCCCACCCACCUUCAGUUCAGAGUUGAGAUGCCACUUGCGUAGGCCACCCAGAUGGUAAGCUCAGACAGUCAUCCAGAUGUCUUUAUCUAGUGGAGGCCAAACAUCACUGAGACCACAUCUGGAUGUUUAGUGGGCCAACGACAUUUUUAUUUCCUGCUGUUUAAAUAAUAGAUUUGGGGGAUCUUGGAAACGUAGUCUUUAUUUCCUCUUACCCCAGAGUUGCUCUGCUGCAGGAACACACUUUAUGACAAUCGGGUCAAAUCAGAAGCAGCCAGAGAGCCACCCGUUUCUGGGCUGUUAAUGAUGGGAGGUCCUAAACUGACAGGCGGAGUCUGACGUCUAAACAUCAUGACUGUUAUAAACCAGGAGGUGUCCAAACAACCUAUGGAGCACCUGAAAGUUUCUAUAAUAACUUGUAUUUUUUUUUUUCAAGUGUUGAAAACUUCCUAGCAGUGUGGCUGGUUGCCUGGGCUACAGUGUUGUGUUGACAGCUCUGGUCCUUUUCCUGGCAGCCGAGGAUCUGCACAGUGACCAAUGAGAGGGGAGCAUUCUGCUCUGAACUUUCCAUUAGGCUGAUGAUUCACUUUGAAAUCCACACUUUAUGAAUGCUGUGAAUUCAAUGUAAUGUAGCUGUUGAGGUGUCUACAUUCAAAUUUGAUUCCAUUAACUUUACGGUGUGAUUAAGUGUCUGAAUCAUCAGGACUUGGGAUUGAAUUUAUGUGCCUUCUGCGAGCCCUUUUGUAGACUGGUAGUUUUGAUGAGUGUAAUUUGAUGUAUGGGAUUGGGAGAAGAAACCUAAAAAGAUAUCACCUCAAAUAUAACAAGGAUCUGAGAACCCAAAUUUGAGCGUUGAGGUGGGUGGUCACUCUCAGAUGUGCAGAGUGGAGCUACUCUUCAGCAUGCACACUUUUUUCUUUAAAGAACUUGAUUUUUGGUGUUAGAAGGGACUUAGAGGUCCCUUCUAAGGGACCUCUAAAUUUGGCUUUCAAAUUUUAAAGUACUUAACUAUUAAUUAGGGUGCUUCUUAAAAAAAAAACGCCGAUUUCAGAUCGUGCCUUCUGAUUCUGAAGGGCUGGAAUGGGAUGCAGGAAUGGAAUUAUAGACCUCCCUGGGAGAAAUGCUGACUUAGUUGUUUUGCAUUUGGGAGAGUGAUGGGCCUCAUCCAUGGCCUUCCUCACAGCUAGUGGUAAGAGAGUCAAGCCCAGAACUGGAUCUCUAUAUGUUUCCUCAGGGGUCAUUCAUCACGUACUUAGUUCAUGCUCAUGCGAAUUGACAUUUAUGACAUGGAAAUUAUCGGUAGUAAGAAAGUGAAAAGAACAUGGAGUGGCAGAGAGUGUGGCAUAUUGCAGUUUAGCAAAAAUGAGUUCUGAAAUCUCAUUUGAAAAUUUUAAGUUCUCCUUAACACAUAGGGGUUAAAUGGGAGAUGCACAAUGCUUCACAUAUUUGAGUCAAUUUUAGGCAGUUGCUAAGAUAGCAGUGUACAAAAUAUUUUUACUUUUGCAUUUCCCUUUAUAGAUUUCUUUGGACUUAAAUACACUGAAAUUUUAAUUUAAAUUCUCCAUGUAUUUAAAUUCUCCAUGUAUUUAAAUUCCAGAAUUGAUGAAAUUAAACACUUUUUCAUUAUUGCUGACAAUUUGUACUUAUUCUUUAAUUCUUUGUGAAUCAUUUUUCAGAUCCUUUGUGAACUUCUCUACUGAGUUGCUGGCUUUUUUUUUCUGGUAUUGUUUUUAAAUAGAUGUUUUUUAUUAAAGUUAUUAACUCCAUGUCUGUCAUACAAUUCCCUGAAAGUGUUUUUCUGUUUUUUGUUUUAUGUUUAUUUAUGGUUACUUUUCUUUUAUAUGGAGCAGUUUAAAAUUUUUCUACAGAAACAUUAAAAUCCUUUUUUCUGUUCUCUGUGAUGAUGUUUCAUCAGUUUUAUUUGUUAAAGCUCUCCCUAUUACAAGAUCAGGAAAAUAAUUACUUAUACUUUUUUAUAGCUAUUUUGUAGUUCUAAUAUUUACUGCUUUCACUUGUUGGUAUGCUUUAUAAAAUAUAACAUACAAAAUAUAAAUAUAUAACAUAUAAACAUUAUUCCUCAAAUAGUUGUCCUAGCAUCAUUUCCUGUAUAUUACUUUCUAAUUGGUUUGUAAAAUACAUGAUAACUACCAUUUAUUAUAUACUUAGGUACAGUGCUAAAUAUAUUUAAUGAAUUGUUCAUUUUAAUGCAUAUAUAUUUUAUUUGCUUCUUACAACAACAUUCUAGCAGUUAUUUUAAAUCCCCUUUUACAGAUGAGCAAACAGAGGCUUAGAUAGCUCAAGUUGCUUAUCUAUUAAGAGGCAGAGCUGAGGGGUAACCUCAGGAUAGAGUGACUCCAAAACCCACAGACUCAGUCACCCAAAUCAGUUUUACCAUAAAACAAAUUCUUAGUGUUAAGGUCAUUUUAGGGUUUUGUAUUCUGUUUCAUUAACUGGGUUUCUAUUUUUUGCACUAAUAUCAUACUUUUAAGUAUUUUAGCUUUAUAAUGUUUUUAAAACUGAAAGUGUCACACCUUAUUACUCUUCAGCUUUUCAAAUAUUGAGCUCUCACUGGUUCAAUAUUCAUGUUCACCUCAGUCUAACAUCAGCAAAUACAAAAAUACUUCCUGAGAUUUUCAAUGGAGUUACUUUUAAAACUUGACAUCUUUCCUAUAUUUAA
rnacentral:lncRNA from 1 species